rnacentral:rRNA from 1 species
UACGUAGGGGGCAAGCGUUGUCCGGAUUUAUUGGGCGUAAAGAGCGUGUAGGCGGCCAUGCAGGUCCGUUGUGAAAACUCGAGGCUCAACCUCGAGACGUCGAUGGAAACCAUCUGGCUAGAGUCCGGAAGAGGAGAGUGGAAUUCCUGGUGUAGCGGUGAAAUGCGCAGAUAUCAGGAAGAACACCCGUGGCGAAGGCGGCUCUCUGGGACGGUACUGACGCUGAGACGCGAAAGCGUGGGGAGCGAACAGG